AUGUCGUUGUUGAACGAAGAUUAUGCGAGGAAGCUGAAGCUCAACAGAGAGUGGAAGGUGAUCGCAGAGAUAGGACAGAGGAAAUGGAAGUUUGUUGGGAUUUCUGGUUAUGCAGGGCAGUUAGGAAACUGGUUUUUGAUGGUUGAGAUGGUGAGAGUUAGUUACAGGUUUGGUUUAUAUCAUAGCAACUUGGACACAAUAGCUUGGCACAUGGGGCAUAAUUGGGGCAUGGAAUCAUGGAAGAUUAUAAAUGAAGCAAUGCUUGAGGAUUAG